GUCGCCGCCGCCCGCCCUCCGCGCCGUUCCCGGCGCACCCCGCGCCCAUCCGGGGACUCGGCGGCCGCCGCGGGCCUUACCGGAGUCGCCGCGCGCCGCGCCGUCCCGGGGCUUCGGGGGGCGGCCCCGCGGCAUCGUCGCGGCGGCCCACCCCUCACUCGCGCUCUCCCUCGGCGGGCGGGCGCGCACGCGCGGCACCGGCGGGCGGGCUGGCGGGCUGGCGAGCGGGCGGCGGCAGCCGGACCCAGCCCGCCGGGCUCACUGGGCGACGGCGCCCGGACGCGCGGGCAACAGCGCUCGGACCGCGCCGGCCUCGGCGGGUUCCAUGGCCCGCGGGCCGCGGCGGGGGCGUUGGGAGCGGGCGGUGGGGGCGGGGGCGCCGCUGUGCGCAUGCGCGGCCCGCACAGGCGGCGGCGGCGGCGUCACCUAGCUCGGCGCUCCGCCGGCCCAGCGAGGCCGCAGGUCCCGGGGCCGGGUUUGCAACUGUGCCUCGGAGGCGCCUCCGUGCUCCAUGCCGGACCUCGAACGCCGAUCGGGACAACCAGCCCCCUCACUACUCAGCCCCAACUCCUCGGGAAAUGGAAGGGGUCAGAGGGUGGUUAGCUUGUCCUGCUCUCGCUAUGUCCACUGGGGUUGCAGCUCACCUCUGUGCAGGGAAAGUAUCCCAGCAUGUCUUCCUGCCCCGGACUCCUUUUUAAGCAUCCCUGCCCAGACCUCUGGAGUGAGGAAAGGCCUGGGAAGGAAAACGGCCGACUUAAGUGAUAACGCCCUUCGCAGGCUCCAUGUAAGCUUUAAAGUUCGGCGAUGGUGGUGCACACCUUUACUCCCAGCACUUGGGAGUCAGAGGCAGGCGGAUUUCUGGGUUCAAGGCCAGCCUCAGUCUACAGAGGGAGUUCCAGGACAGCCAGGGCUACACAGAGAAACCCUGUCUCCAAAAACCAAAAAAAAAGCCUUAAAGUUUGCCGUUUCUGGUGUGUCAUCUUGUAUGAUUUCUUCUUGUCCCUUUUAGCCCCAGCCAGAGAUUUAGUCACAGCAGCACAGCCUGAAGCUAUGCUAAGAAUCCAGCAGGGUGUGUGGCCCACCUCUAAUCCCAAAGUUUGGCAAGCUGAAACUGCAAGGUGUAAUGUAAAGUCGAAGCCUACCUGGUCUACGUGGUGUAUCCACAGGAAUACCCUUGAGUAUAAGGAAAUCCACGUCUGUAUGCAUCCAGGCUAAAGGAGGACACUGGCUGAACAAACCUUAACAGGAAUGGGGACUAGAGAGGUGGCCCAGUGGUUAGAGCAGCUAAUGUUCACUGGAGACUCAAGUUCAGUUCCUAGCACUCAUUUUGGCUUGCGUCCAACCACUUGUAACUCAGAUGCAGGGGAUCUAACAACCACUUUUGGCCACCGGAGGCAGUGCACUUGUGUGUAGACCUACACAGAAACAUAUAAAUUUCUUAAAGGUUUUUUGCUGGGCUCAGAAACAUGUUGCCAAGUGACUCCCUAGUCACUGAGCCUUAUGAAGCUCAGCCCAAAUUAAUCCUUAUCUUUUAAAUUGUGUCAGAUAUUUUGUCAAAGAGACAAGAAAAGGAACUAGUGUUGAUACCACUGGAAAGUUUAAAGCAGGGAAGACAAUUUUCAAAUAUUAUUUCAGUUAUUGUAAAGAGUAUUCUGGAUAAUCUAGAGUGCAGGCAAGGGAUGAUAGGGAAAAAAAAGAUUUUUUGCAUAUGUGACUCUACUUGGAUUGUAUGUGUAUAUGAGUACAUAUACACAUUUACAUUUAGUUGUAAAAAGGAUUUUAAACAAUUUUACAAGAAAUGUAUUUAAGGUGACAAAAUAAAUGAAUAAAUCAGAA